rnacentral:rRNA from 1 species
GGACUACUAGGGUAUCUAAUCCUGUUUGCUCCCCACGCUUUCGCACCUCAGCGUCAGUAUUGGCCCAGGUCGCCGCCUUCGCCACUGGUGUUCCUCCCGAUAUCUACGAAUUUCACCUCUACACCGGGAAUUCCGCGACCCUCUUCCAUACUCGAGCCUGCCAGUUUCGAAUGCUCUUCCUGGGUUGAGCCCAGGGCUUUCACAUCCGACUUAUCAGACCGCCUACGUGCGCUUUACGCCCAAUGAUUCCGAGCAACGUUUGCACCCUCCGUAUUACCGCGGCUGCUGGCAC